AUUCCCAUUUUGGUUCUUAUCCUGAUUGUUUUUGGUUUCAUUUUGUUUGUUUUAGGUCAUAUGUUCUGUCUGUGACACCGAACAAGAUGUUCAACAAAAUUGUAUCAAUUGUGGGAUAUGUAUGGGGAAUUACUUCUGUCAGAAAUGCAAAUUCUUUGAUGAUGAUGUUUAUAAGAAUCAGUAUCAUUGUGAAAAAUAUGGGAUAUGUGAAAAAACAGAUUAUUGAGCUUUUGUGAUUUGAUUGUUAGGGAUAUGACGGUGGUGGUG